GAUGAACGCUGGCGGCGUGCCUAAUACAUGCAAGUCGAGCGAACAGACGAGGAGCUUGCUCCUCUGACGUUAGCGGCGGACGGGUGAGUAACACGUGGAUAACCUACCCAUAAGACUGGGAUAACUUCGGGAAACCGGAGCUAAUACCGGAUAAUAUAUUGAACCGCAUGGUUCAAUAGUGAAAGACGGUUUUGCUGUCACUUAUAGAUGGAUCCGCGCCGCAUUAGCUAGUUGGUAAGGUAACGGCUUACCAAGGCGACGAUGCGUAGCCGACCUGAGAGGGUGAUCGGCCACACUGGAACUGAGACACGGUCCAGACUCCUACGGGAGGCAGCAGUAGGGAAUCUUCCGCAAUGGGCGAAAGCCUGACGGAGCAACGCCGCGUGAGUGAUGAAGGUCUGCGGAUCGUAAAACUCUGUUAUUAGGGAAGAACAAAUGUGUAAGUAACUAUGCACGUCUUGACGGUACCUAAGCAGAAAGCCACGGCUAACUACGU
rnacentral:rRNA from 1 species